rnacentral:rRNA from 1 species
CUCCUUUGACGUUAGCGGCGGACGGGUGAGUAACACGUGGGUAACCUACCUAUAAGACUGGGAUAACUUCGGGAAACCGGAGCUAAUACCGGAUAAUAUUUCGAACCGCAUGGUUCGACAGUGAAAGGUGGUUUUGCUAUCACUUAUAGAUGGACCCGCGCCGUAUUAGCUAGUUGGUAAGGUAACGGCUUACCAAGGCGACGAUACGUAGCCGACCUGAGAGGGUGAUCGGCCACACUGGAACUGAGACACGGUCCAGACUCCUACGGGAGGCAGCAGCC